CGCGAACGCUGGCGGCAUGGUUAAAACAUGCAAGUCGAGCGCGAAAGCCCUUCGGGGCAAGUAGAGCGGCGAAAGGGCGAGUAAUGCGUUCCUACGUACCCCCAGGUCAGGGAUAGUCCAGGGAAACUUGGAGUAAUACCUGAUGUGGUGGCCAUGCAAAUGGUCAUCAAAGACUUCGGUCGCCAGGGGAGCGGGGAACGUCCUAUCAGGUAGUUGGUGAGGUAACGGCUCACCAAGCCGGAGACGGGUAGCGGGUGUGAGAGCAUGACCCGCCGCAUCGGGACUGAGACACUGCCCGGACUCCUACGGGAGGCUGCAGUAACGAAUCUUCCGCAAUGCGCGAAAGCGUGACGGAGCAAUGCCGCGUGCAGGAUGAAGCUUCUCGGAGUGUAAACUGCUGUCAGGGUUUAGCAACAAAAUGAGCAGACCCAAAGGAAGGGCCGGCUAACUUCGUGCCAGCAGCCGCGGUAAUACGAAGGGCCCGAGCGUUGCGCGGAAUCAUUGGGCUUAAAGCGUACGUAGGCGGACAUGCAGGCGUUUUGUGAAAUCCCUCGGCUCAACCGAGGAAUUGCUUGACGAACCGCAUGUC
rnacentral:rRNA from 1 species